AUAUGAAACAAUAUUGUAUGAACACAGAGUCUUCUACACUGAAUUACAAAGUCUUACGGUGUGUUUGGUUCGAAGUCGGAAUCGGUAUCGAAAUCGGAAUGAGGAUAAGUUAGAAACGAAAUUGAAAUAAUUCAUUACCUCAUAUUGUUUGAUUUGUCAUCCGAAUCAGAAUCGGUAUGAAUCAUUCUCAUUGUCGGUAUUUGGUUCAUAUAGAUAUCAUAAAUAUAAUCAAAUUAAUAUGCAAAUUUUAUCUUUAUAAUAUAUUAGUUUAAAUUCAAACUGAAUUAAAUAUUAAAAAUUUACGUCAAAAUUUUAAAACAAUGUUAAAAUUUCAAAUAUACUUUUUAAAAAAAUUAAAAUUUGAAAUUGAAUGGAUAAUUAAAAAUAUAAAACUAAAUUUCAAUUUAUUCAAAUUCAAACUUAAAAUUAUAAUUCAAAUUUCAAUUUGAAUCCAUAAAUUUAAUUUAAAAUUUAAAAUAAAAUUUGAAUAAAACUUUAGAUUUUAAAUUAAAUUCAAAUUCAAAUUUAUCGAUUAGAUUCAAAAUACUUGAUUGAAUUUUAAUUUUUAAUUUAAGUUCAAAUUAAAAUUUAAAUGUAUAAAUAUAAUUUUUAAACUUAAACUUAUAUUUUAAUUAAAAAAUAAAUUAAAAAAAAUUAAAUUUAAUCAGAACAAAUCAAUUCCGACCGGAUUCAAUUGAUUUGAAAUCAGAAUCAGAAUGAAAAUUCCGCGUAUCGGACAUCGACAAACAAAUUUGUCUAUUC
rnacentral:lncRNA from 1 species